CCGCGACUUGUCAGCUGACGGAGGACGGAGGAUAGAGCACGGAGCGCUUUGCUUCUCAUAAUUAUACUCCGUGUGAUCGUUAACAUCGUUGUCGAUUAUUAUUGAUACGCAAUUUACUGGUUAUUAUUCACAAUAGGUCGUUACUGCAUUUUGUGUUACAAUCAUGAUGAAGCAGUCUCUUAUCACCGAAUUCCCACAAAUGUAGAAUUGAGAGCGAAGUGGGCUGAGUUUUGUCGAUUGAAGGAAGCUGAGAUAAAAGAUUCCUUUUGUUUAUGCUCGAACCAUUUCAUUGCUGAUGAUUUUCUUUCUACAACAUCAAGAAAUAAAUUAUUAAAAAGGAGAGUCAUACCGACAGUUUUCACCGUUAAAAGAAGGAAAAGAUGUUUAAAUAGCAAUGAAACAUCUGCAAAGGGAUCUGAUGCAACAAGUAAUACAACUGGGGAGAGUUCCGAUAGCGUAUAUCCCGAUAGCCCACCAACCAAUCAUCUUGACUUAUCUAACCCAACCUACGGAAAAUUUCUAGGCAUCUGCCAUUGUGAGUGGUUUGUGUGCUAUCGGGAUGUGCGCUAUCGGGACAACCGCCGAUACAACUGUACUCAUGUCCAGUGAAAGAGAACUAGUCACAUAUAAAAAUAUCAUAGAAGAUUCCUUAAAAAAUAAUGUUGAUGUCAGUGAACGAGAACUAAUUUCAGACAAAAAUAUCAUUAAGGAUGUAUGGAGAAAUAAUAUGGAUAUUGACCAAGUAUUGGCAAGUAAAAAAAAUUAAUAUGAUCCAUAAAAUCAUAUUGAUUACUUACUGGCGUAGUUUUUAAUAUUAUUAUUGUUUAUUAGAUUCUGUUGCAGAAUCAGUGACUAGCGUACGUUCUUCUAGUCCUCCUCACAUGCCAUGGUAUAUUGGCAAUAUAUGGACGCCUCAUUUAGCGACACCUCGAAGAGCUAAACGAGCACUUAAUCUAACGAAAGUUAUAAUGAAAAGGCAAAGAAGAAAGAUUUUAAGUUUACAACAAACGACAACUAAAUUGAAAAAGAGAAUUAAAAAUAUUAAAGAACUGGUUAAACAUCUUAAGGAAAAAAAUUUAAUAUCCGAAGAUACUAUGAAUCAAUUUAAGGUAUAUUUCUGUCAUUCUGCCAAUAAUAAUUUAAACAUGCUUAGUGCCAAUGUUGAUUCAACAGAUUUUUUUCUAUAAGGCGCAUUACUAUUAUUUGUCGUUAAGGUUCCUGAUGGAAGAAAUUUCUACAAAUAACUAUAAAACUCUACAAGAAAUAAAAAUUUGUAUAUACAGAAAUAUUUAUUUUUGAUAAAAUUAUCUAGGCGGAAGACUGCAAACUAUAUUUUUUAACAGCAAGAAAUUAUUGAAUGUCGUAUUUUAUUAAAAUGUACAAUUUUUUUAGAAAAACUACAAAGUUUUAUAUACCAUAUAGUUAUUUGUAACAUAUUACAAUUAUUUUACAAUCAUUCCUACAAAAAUCUAUUGUAAUCUACU